GACGUAGGGCGCGAGCGUUGUCCGGAUUUAUUGGGCGUAAAGAGCUCGUAGGCGGCUUGUCGCGUCGAAUGUGAAAUCUCAGGGCUCAACUCUGACAUUGCAUUCGAUACGGGCAGGCUCGAGUUCGGUAGGGGAGACUGGAAUUCCUGGUGUAGCGGUGAAAUGCGCAGAUAUCAGGAGGAACACCGGUGGCUAAGGCGGGUCUCUGGGCCGAUACUGACGCUGAGGAGCGAAAGCGUGGGGAGCGAACAGG
rnacentral:rRNA from 1 species